AUACGGAGGGUGCAAGCGUUACUCGGAAUCACUGGGCGUAAAGCGCGCGCAGGCGGCUUGGUAAGUUGGAUGUGAAAGCCUACGGCUCAACCGUAGAACUGCACCCAAAACUGCCAAGCUAGAGUGUGGGAGAGGAAGAUGGAAUUAGUUGUGUAGGGGUAAAAUCCGUAGAGAUAACUAGGAAUACCAAAAGCGAAGGCAAUCUUCUGGAACACUACUGACGCUGAGGCGCGAAAGCGUGGGGAGCAAACAGGAUUAGAAACCCUAGUAGUCC
rnacentral:rRNA from 1 species